rnacentral:rRNA from 1 species
UAAUUGAAAGCUGGAAUGAAGGGUUGAAUGAAAAAUUUACUGUCUCUAAUUAAUUUUAUUAGAAUUUUAUUUUUAAGUUAAAAAGCUUAAAUAGUUUUAAAAGACGAGAAGACCCCAUAGAGUUUUAUAUAUUAAAUUUAUAAAUAUUUAGAAAUAAUUUUUUAUAAUAAUAGUAUAUUUGAUUGGGGUGAUUUAAAAAUUAAUUAAACUUUUUAUUUAUAUUAAUAUUGAUUAAUAAAUUUAUGAUCCAAAAAUUUUGAUUAUAAGAUAAAUUACCUUGGGGAUAACAGCGUAAUUUUAUUAAAGAGUUCUAAUCGAAAAUAAAGUUUGCGACCUCGAUGUUGGAUUAAAAUUUAAAUUUGGUGUAGAAGCUAAAUAUUUAAGUCUGUUCGACUUUUAAAAUUUUAC